GUUUCCGUAGUGUAGUGGUUAUCACGUGCGCCUCACACGCGCAAGGUCCCAGGUUCGAUCCCGGGCGGAAACA
rnacentral:tRNA from 1 species